GCAAUAGCUACUUGCAUCAUUGUAAAUAUGAUGCAAGAUCGACUAUGUCGAAUAAAAUUCUAGGUAGAAUUAUGAUAAUGACAUUGUCUGCCUAUGUGUCUUGACCAAAUUACGUGCCAGCAGUCGCGGUAAUACGUAGAAGACUAGUGUUAUUCAUGUUUAAUCGGUUUAAAGGGUACCUAGACGGUAAAUCAAGCCUAAAAGGAAAUAAAUGAAGGGACUAAUUUACUAGAGUUACUUAUGAGGGGGUAUUAAAGUACUGCUGGUGUAGAGAUGAAAUUCUGUCAUACCUCUUUUCAAUAGAAAAAUAAUGGCACAGGUAUAGGCGAAAGCAUCCCCUUAUGUGAUAACUGACGUUGAGGGACGAAGGCUUUGUGUAGCGAACAGGAUUAGAUACCCCAGUAGUCAAAGCAGAAAAUGAUGAAUGUCAUAGAUUAGAUAUAUAAGUUUAUUCUAUAAAUGAAAGUGUAAGCAUUCCACCUCAAGAGUAAUUUGGCAACAUUGGAACUGAAAUCAUUAGACCGUUUCUGAAACCAGUAGUGAAGUAUGUUGUUUAAUUUGAUGAUCCGCAAAAAACCUUACCACAAUUUGAAUAUUUAUAUCUUUUAUUGUUUUUCUUUUUAACUUUUUCUAAUUUUCUACUUAAAAGAAAAAAAAUAACAAGAAAAAAGAGACAAUAAGAUAUAUUUACAAGCGUUGCACGGCUGUCUUCAGUUAAUGUCGCGAGACUAUGGUUAGUUCCAUUAAAUUAACGUAAACCCUUACUUUAUUUUUAUAUAGAGUAGUUCCCCGCUAUAUUGGAUAUGAUAACAGGGACUAAGACAAGUCAUCAUGGCCUAAAUAUUGU
rnacentral:rRNA from 1 species